rnacentral:rRNA from 1 species
UACGUAGGUCCCAAGCAUUAUCCGGAAUUAUUGGGCGUAAAGCGUCUGUAGGCUGAUAUUUAAGUUGACAAUGAAAGGCCGGGGCUUAACCUCGAGUUUGUUGUCAAAACUGAAUAUCUAGGAUUAGGGAGAGGUAAGCAGAAUUCUAAGUGUAGGGGUGCAAUCCGUAGAUACUUAGAGGAAUACCAAAAGCGAAGGCAGCUUACUGGAACUAUAUCGACGCUGAGAGACGAAAGCGUGGGGAGCGAAAAGG